UGAACACGGUUCUCUGCAUAAGACACAACAAUCUGACAUAAAGUCACAUGUUUGCCAUUUCAAAACACUGCCAUUCAAAAUUGAGCUAAUUGGCCAAACACCUCAAUGGUUAACUGUUAUCACUUCAAUCAGGAAGUAAGCACUAUGAAAAGACCACAAGUGAGCACCUUUUUUUUUUUACAACAACAAUGGAAGAGGUUGCAGAGAGAGAAGAGGAAGAGGGAGGGUGAGAAUGAGAGGGGGAGGAAGAGUGAGAGGUUGGGGUAGAGCUGGUAGAGGAGUUCAUGGCCAAAGAAGAAAACAACUUUCAAAUGAAA